CUCCAGGACGACCAACAACAAAAAAGCCAGGCAGAGACAGCAGCGGGCUGUCAGCAGAGGAGCUGGGCUGAGGCGCCCAGGGGAGCAGCGGCGCCCACGAAGGAAGUACGAGGACAGCACGUGGAGGCUCCGCGCUGGGGCACUGCUGCUCAGCCCCCAACACCUGAGCUCCCAGAGCCCGGCAGGAGCCCCAACAGGAAGCCGGCGCGGCAUGGCUGCCACCGACUUCGUGCAGGAGAUGCGCGCCGUGGGCGAGAGGCUGCUGCUCAAGCUGCAGAGACUGCCCCAGGCUGAGCCCGUGGAGAUCGUGGCCUUCUCAGUCAUCAUCCUUUUCACAGUUGCUUCUUUGAGUCAGGGUGCAGCUCUGGUCACCUGGCGGCCUCUUCAGCUCAGCCCUCCACAAAGUGUGAGCCUGAAGGACCACCCUGAAUUGCCCUUGUAGGACCCAGAACAGCUACCAGCAGAAUCAGAUUCUCAUGGACCAACUGGUAUUCAAAGAGACAAUCUGGAAUGAUGCGUUCUGGCAGAACCCCUGGGACCAGGGGGGCCUGGCAGUGAUUAUCUUAUUCAUCACCGCUGUCCUGCUUCUCAUCUUAUUUGCCAUCGUGUUUGGUUUACUCACUUCCACAGAAAACACUCAGUGUGAAGCGGGUGAAGAGGAGUGACCUGACUUCCUGGGGACUGAGAUGGCAGCAGGGGAGGCGAGCUGACCUGCCCCCAUUCCAGUGGUGGGCCCCUUUGCAAUUCCCUCUGGCUCAGGGGCCAAGCCCUGGUGUCUUCCUUUCCCACCAGGAAAAAGUCUAGUAAAAUACUGUAUCUGGCUUAGGGUUGGUCAGACUAGUAAGAUGGGGAGGCUGGUCUGAGACCAAUUCUGGCUCCUUGACCCUAUUGUUUUUAGGGUUCCCCGACCAGAACCCUAAAAGCACAUGGAGGGGACGGCUCCACUGCCUCAGGUGGAAGGAGCUAUGGCUAACAAGGUUCUCUAACAGGCUCACAGGCCCAGCCAGCAAUUUCACAAAUCCUUGACAGAGAAAGACACAACCAAAUGAAAUAAAAAUUCCUUUUCAAAUCUGC
rnacentral:lncRNA from 1 species